CUGCCAGUAGCUCAGUUGGAUAGAGCACCCGCCUUCUAAGCGGGCGGUCGGGGGUUCGACUCCCUCCUGGCAGGCCA
rnacentral:tRNA from 1 species